rnacentral:rRNA from 1 species
AACCCGCACAAGCGGUGGAGCAUGUGGUUUAAUUCGAAGCAACGCGAAGAACCUUACCAGGCCUUGACAUGCAGAGAACUUUCCAGAGAUGGAUUGGUGCCUUCGGGAACUCUGACACAGGUGCUGCAUGGCUAUCGUCAGCUCGUGUCGUGAGAUGUUGGGUUAAGUCCCGUAACGAGCGCAACCCUUGUCCUUAGUUACCAGCACGUUAAGGUGGGCACUCUAAGGAGACUGCCGGUGAACAAACCGGAGGAAGGGUGGGGAUGACGUCAAGUCAUCAUCGGUCCCGUUACCGGCCGUGGGCUACACACGUGCUAC